rnacentral:pre_miRNA from 2 species
UUAAUGCUAAUCGUGAUAGGGGUUUUUGCCUCCGACUGACUCCUACAUGUUAGCAUUAACA